UACAAGUACGGCCUCAUUUAAGAAAAUUGGCAGCACUUGAGUUCAAGUGCGGGCUCACUUAAAAAACGAGCCGCACAAAAUUUCACGGGUUCUUAUUUUCAAUUUAAUUUUCAUUUUCGCGCUCCUCUCCUUCCCCUUUCUCUACCUCAUCUCUCUUUCUCCAGCUCAAACGACUCUCACUCUUCACCUCAAACCCCCUCUCUCGUCCCUUUGCUGCUUCUCGGCCGGUAACCCGCCACCACCAUUUCUCUUGUCGGCGGCACAACUGCUUCUAUCUUUGUUGUUUUGCGCUGCCCAGUUGUUGGUUCUCUGCUCUCUCUCGCCGGCUUCAUCUUUCUCUCGUUACUACCUUGUAUCUCCACCACCAACGGUGGCCGAAGGUGGUAGCUGAGGUUUGUCAUCCGUGCUACACUGUCGAUCGGUUCACCUUGCUGAUGGGUUUCAGGUUCUCUAAAACCUUACAAUUUCUGGUCUCCAAGAAGGGGGUGAUAUCAUUGGAUCCGUGGAGAGUAUUAGAGUAGUAGUUCUGGUGCAUCUAAUGUGGGACACCAGCCUGUCCAGAAAUUUUACAUGAUUGUAGUUGUUGUAGAUUCAUCAAAUCCAAGCUCUGGCACACUUUAUUAUUGGACAGGAAGAACAUACACACUGCCGGUUCAAAGUAUUCAAACAAAUUAGUUCACCUGGUAUUCAACAAUCCGAGGGAGCAGCCUUUUACCAUUGAGUAGAUAAAUGAAGUUCGAGAAAAGUUGGCAAAUUUCAUUACCAUUUAUCGUCUUUGAUAUUUUCUUGUAGUGAAUCUUAUAUUAUGGAUGCUAGUUUUUCAUAGGAUUGUAAUGUAAUCAAUUUUUAUAUUUAUAAUUAUAUACUAUUUAAUUUAAUUAUCUAUAUAAUUGGAUACUUUUUUUA